UACGGGGGGGGCAAGCGUUGUUCGGAAUUACUGGGCGUAAAGGGCUCGUAGGCGGCCAACUAAGUCGGACGUGAAAUCCCUCAGCUUAACUGGGGAACUGCGUCCGAUACUGGAUGGCUUGAGUUUGGGAGAGGGAUGCGGAAUUCCAGGUGUAGCGGUGAAAUGCGUAGAUAUCUGGAGGAACACCGGUGGCGAAGGCGGCAUCCUGGACCAACACUGACACUGAGGAGCGAAAGCCAGGGGAGCAAACGGG
rnacentral:rRNA from 1 species